rnacentral:rRNA from 1 species
CAAUAGCGUAUAUUAAAGUUGUUGCGGUUAAAAGCUCGUAGUUGGAUUUCUGCUGAGGACGACCGGUCCGCCCUCUGGGUGAGUAUCUGGCUCGGCCUUGGCAUCUUCUUGGGGAACGUAACUGCACUUGACUGUGUGGUGCGGUAUCCAGGACUUUUACUUUGAGGAAAUUAGAGUGUUUCAAGCAGGCGCACGCCUUGAAUACAUUAGCAUGGAAUAAUAAGAUAGGACCUUGGUUCUAUUUUGUUGGUUUCUAGAGCUGAGGUAAUGAUUAAUAGGGAUAGUUGGGGGCAUUCGUAUUUAACUGUCAGAGGUGAAAUUCUUGGAUUGCGUUACGACGAACUACUGCGAAAGCAUUUGCCAAGGAUGUUUUCAUUGAUCAAGAACGAAAGUACGGGGAUCGAAGACGAUCAGAUACCAU